UCGGAAUCUCCCGCUGCCUCGGGACGCUCCCAAGAUGGCGACCUCGCUGGGUUCCAACACCUACGACAGGCAGAACUGGGAGGAUGCGGACUUCCCCAUUCUGGGUCAGACGUGUCUUGGAGAAAACCCUUACAUCCGAAUGACCAAAGAAAAGUACGGGAAGGAAUGCAAAAUCUGUGCCAGACCAUUCACCGUGUUUCGCUGGUGCCCUGGAGUUCGCAUGCGUUUCAAGAGGACUGAAGUGUGCCAGACCUGCAGUAAGUUGAAGAAUGUCUGUCAGACCUGCCUCUUAGACCUGGAGUAUGGCCUACCCAUCCAGGUUCGUGAUGCAGGGCUGUCUUUUAAAGAUGACAUGCCCAAAUCAGAUGUCAGCAAAGAAUACUACACACAGAAUAUGGAGCGAGAGGUUUCUAACUCUGCUGGAACACAGCCGGUCGGCAUGCUGGGGAAAGCCACAUCCACCAGUGACAGGCUGCUCAAGCUGGCUCGGACUACAGCCUACUACAAAAGGAAUCGGCCCCACAUUUGCUCCUUCUGGGUGAAAGGGGAGUGCAAGAGAGGAGAGGAGUGUCCGUGCAGACAUGAGAAGCCCACAGAUCCUGAUGACCCCCUUGCUGAUCAGAAUAUUAAAGGCCGAUAUUAUGGAAUCAAUGACCCUGUGGCUGAUAAGCUUCUGAAGCAGGCCUCAACAAUACCUCGUCUGAUUCCCCCAGAGGAUAAGACUAUCACCAUACUGUAUGUCGGUGGUCUGGGGGACACCAUUACUGAGACAAGAUUUAAGAAAUCACUUCUACCAGUUCGGAGAGAUCUGGACCAUCACGGUGGUGCAGCGACAGCAGUGUGCCUUCAUCGAGUUUGCCACGAGGCAGGCUGCAGAGGUGGCUGCCGAGAAGUCCUUCAACAAACUGAUUGUCAAUGGCCGCAGGCCCAACGUGAAAUGGGGAAGAUCCCAGGCAGCCAGAGGAAAAGAGAAGGAGAAGGAUGGAACCACAGAUUCUGGGAUCAAGCUGGAGCCGGUUCCAGGACUGCCGGGAGCUCUCCCUCCUCCCCCUGCUGCCGAAGAAGAAGCCUCUGCCAACGACUUCAACCUACCCCCAAGUGGUCCACCAGCCGUGGUGAACAUCGCCCUGCCACCGCCCCCUGGCAUCGCCCCGCCCCCACCCCCAGGUUUUGGGCCCCACAUGUUCCACCCGAUGGGACCACCCCCUCCUUUCAUGAGGGCACCAGAACCAAUCCACUACCCUUCCCAGGACCCUCAGAGGAUGGGAGCACAUGCUGGCAAGCACAGCAGCCCCUAG